UACGGGGGGGGGCAAGCGUUGUUCGGAAUUACUGGGCGUAAAGGGCUCGUAGGUGGCCAACUAAGUCAGACGUGAAAUCCCUCGGCUUAACCGGGGGAACUGCGUCUGAUACUGGAUGGCUUGAGUUCGGGAGAGGGAUGCGGAAUUCCAGGUGUAGCGGUGAAAUGCGUAGAUAUCUGGAGGAACACCGGUGGCGAAGGCGGCAUCCUGGACCGACACUGACACUGAGGAGCGAAAGCCAGGGGAGCAAACGGGG
rnacentral:rRNA from 1 species